rnacentral:rRNA from 1 species
UACGGGGGGAGCAAGCGUUGUUCGGAUUUACUGGGCGUAAAGGGCGCGUAGGCGGCCAGUGCAAGUCAGUUGUGAAAUCUCCGAGCUUAACUCGGAAAGGUCAACUGAUACUGCUCGGCUAGAGUGCGGAAGGGGCAACUGGAAUUCUUGGUGUAGCGGUGAAAUGCGUAGAUAUCGGGAGGAACACCGGUGGCGAAGGCGGUUCUCUGGGCCUGACCUGACGCUGAGGAGCGAAAGCGUGGGGAGCGAACAGG